rnacentral:rRNA from 1 species
UAGGGAAUCUUCCACAAUGGACGCAAGUCUGAUGGAGCAACGCCGCGUGAGUGAAGAAGGCUUUCGGGUCGUAAAACUCUGUUAUUGAAGAAGAACGUGUGUGACAGUAACUGGUCAUGCAGUGACGGUAUUCAAUCAGAAAGUCACGGCUAACUACGUGCCAGCAGCCGCGGUAAUACGUAGGUGGCAAGCGUUGUCCGGAUUUAUUGGGCGUAAAGCGAGUGCAGGCGGUCUUUUAAGUCUGAUGUGAAAGCCUUCGGCUUAACCGAAGAAGGGCAUCGGAAACUGGGAGACUUGAGUGCAGAAGAGGAGAGUGGAACUCCAUGUGUAGCGGUGAAAUGCGUAGAUAUAUGGAAGAACACCAGUGGCGAAGGCGGCUCUCUGGUCUGUAACUGACGCUGAGGCUCGAAAGCGUGGGUAGCAAACAGGAUUAGAUACCCUGGUAGUCCACGCCGUAACGAUGAAUACUAAGUGUUG